GGGCGGAGGGUCUCUCUACGUCUCUGAUAAGAGAUAAUUAACACUUUGUUUGAUCAUAGUAGUUCUGCAAUCUAGGAACGAGCCCAACUUCAGGAGCUGGUUGAAGCUGCACUAAAUUUAUCCACAAAAGUAACAUCAAAACAAUUGUGGUGGGCAACCUCCUACAGGAAGAAAAUUACAGUUUGGAUGAGGAUAUGUAGUGCAUAGGAAUAUAGGAUGUUCCUGAUGGAUUCAGAAGGUAAACAAAUCUUUAUAUCUAUUUCACAUCUAGAAUUGAGGAAGUAAAUGAUUUUACAGAUGCUCAUUUAUUUGCGUACGCUAAUGGUGCCUGCUGAUGGUAACUAAUAUCACGUCUUUGAUUAUUGUGUAGGAUGCGGAUCUGUAGACCAGGUCAUAUCAUCCAUGACUAUAUUCAAUUUGGAUCCUUAGGUGCAUCAAAUGUGUUUAUCCAAGAGGAGCACAGUUUUAGAGUGUUUGUUUAUUGGAAGAGGUUUUGAUCCCCCACCGUUAAUAUCUUUGUAUGAUUACCACAUUACAAGUCUUUCUCAUUUCUUGUUCUUUUAUAUCCGAAACGGGGACUAGCAAUCUACAUCAAGCUUAUUGGAUUAGUUGUUCAUGCCAAUCGUUCUCAAUGCCUUGAUCUUCUUCAAAAGAGGACGUUGCCGCUGCUCCGUCUGGAGGAGCGCGCCAUUGUGCCAUCGACGGGAAGAGGCUAGGUGCAGCGCGUUGUCACCACCGGUUGUGCCCUGGGCGAUCUGCUGGCUUCAACCUGUUGUAGCUUGAUGUCUCGUGCUUUUUUGCACAUGCGGCACCGGCGUCCGGACGCUGACCCAUGACAUCUGGUGGACGCCAUAUGGUACCCUCCAGGUGGUCCCCGACCGCCUCCCUCACAUUCCUCCUCCUCCUCCUGUUUGCGCCUUGACCAGCACGCGCGGCGACGCCGGCGAAGCAUACCCGCCGUUCUCGUCCACCGUCGUGGUCUAGCUCCAGG
rnacentral:lncRNA from 1 species